rnacentral:rRNA from 1 species
UACGGAGGGUGCGAGCGUUGUCCGGAAUUACUGGGCGUAAAGCGCACGUAGGCGGCUUUGUAAGUUAGAGGUGAAAGCCUGGAGCUCAACUCCAGAAUUGCCUUUAAGACUGCCGAGCUAGCAGGUGAGAGAGGUGAGUGGAAUUCCGAGUGUAGAGGUGAAAUUCGUAGAUAUUCGGAAGAACACCAGUGGCGAAGGCGGCUCACUGGCUCAUACUGGACGCUGAGGUGCGAAAGCGUGGGGAGCAAACAGG